rnacentral:rRNA from 1 species
CACUCCUGCGGGAGGCAGCAGUGGGAAAUUUUGGACAAUGGGCGAAAGCCUGAUCCAGCCAUGCCGCGUGCAGGAUGAAGGCCUUCGGGUUGUAAACUGCUUUUGUACGGAACGAAACGGCCUUUUCUAAUAAAGAGGGCUAAUGACGGUACCGUAAGAAUAAGCACCGGCUAACUACGUGCCAGCAGCCGCGGUAAUACGUAGGGUGCAAGCGUUAAUCGGAAUUACUGGGCGUAAAGCGUGCGCAGGCGGUUAUGUAAGACAGUUGUGAAAUCCCCGGGCUCAACCUGGGAACUGCAUCUGUGACUGCAUAGCUAGAGUACGGUAGAGGGGGAUGGAAUUCCGCGUGUAGCAGUGAAAUGCGUAGAUAUGCGGAGGAACACCGAUGGCGAAGGCAAUCCCCUGGACCUGUACUGACGCUCAUGCACGAAAGCGUGGGGAGCAAACAGGAUUAGAAACCCGAGUAGUCCCAUGA